CCUUGGCCAAAUAAAAAAAAUUCACAACCUGUGCCUGUUUUGUUUUAGCACGUCGAAAUAUUCAUAGCUUUAUUUGUUAAUGAGAGGUCCUCAAUCUUCAUGAAGAUGGCGGGCUCUUCGGAAAUUGACACAAUCGCAAGUUCUGUGCAGCGAAAAAUCGACCAAAUGGACACCAGCGACAUUGAGCGAGUAUGUCCGCAUUACACCAACAGACAGACAUGACUGGACACCACGGACAGCGUGGAGAAGCAGCGACAUCCCUUGACCAAGGGAGGGAACUCACAGGGCUGGGAUCGCAGCUGAAUGCACAGGUGAUACAGCUUGAACAAGAGAUUGCAGACCUUGAGGUGAAGAUUGACCUUGAAAGAAAGAUCCUUUGGGAAGGAGGGAAGACUUCCAGGGCUUGGUUGGGAGAUUCUGGACGAUAUCAGCUCUGAGCCUGGAGGAGGUGCAGGAGGAGAUCGACAAGCUGGAGGAAAUGUUGGACAUGAACCAAAACUGACUGGUCUGCAGUUCAACACUACAAACUGGAUCCCAUUACAACAAGACCAGAAUGUGUUGAACAGGCAGCAUUUCAUUGAAGGUUUCUGUAAUGGGACCCCUUCCAACUUACAUACGACAUACUGGAGGAUUUUAGGCGUCAAGAGUCAAGGUCACGAAGGUCGCGGAGGUCACACUGUAUGUGGAGGAUGACAUUGAGGCUACAAUAGGGACACAGCUGCAGGAGCUGACUGAGGACCGAGAAAUACCAGGCUUUUCACAAUUCUUGUUUCCUUCUUGCGAUGCGUAGAGGAGGCGAGAGGAGGUGAUGAACCACUGCAUUGAGAACUACCC